AGCGAACGCUGGCGGCAGGCCUAACACAUGCAAGUCGAACGAAGCCUUCGGGCUUAGUGGCGGACGGGUGAGUAACACGUGGGAACGUACCUUUUGGUUCGGAACAACUCAGGGAAACUUGAGCUAAUACCGGAUGAGCCCUUAGGGGGAAAGAUUUAUCGCCGAAAGAGCGGCCCGCGUUAGAUUAGCUAGUUGGUGAGGUAAAGGCUCACCAAGGCUACGAUCUAUAGCUGGUCUGAGAGGAUGAUCAGCCACACUGGGACUGAGACACGGCCCAGAAUCCUACGGGAGGCAGCAGUGGGGAAUCUUGCGCAAAGGGCGAAAGCCUGACCCAGCCAUGCCGCGUGAAUGAUGAAGGUCUUAGGAUUGUAAAAUUCUUUUACCAGGGACGAUAAUGACGGUACCUGGAGAAAAAGCCCCGGCUAACUUCGUGCCAGCCGCCGCCGUAAUAC
rnacentral:rRNA from 1 species